rnacentral:rRNA from 1 species
UACGGAGGAUCCAAGCGUUAUCCGGAAUCAUUGGGUUUAAAGGGUCCGUAGGCGGUUUAGUAAGUCAGUGAUGAAAGCCCAUCGCUCAACGGUGGAACGGCCAUUGAUACUGCUAGACUUGAAUUAUUAGGAAGUAACUAGAAUAUGUAGUGUAGCGGUGAAAUGCUUAGAGAUUACAUGGAAUACCAAUUGCGAAGGCAGGUUACUACUAAUGGAUUGACGCUGAUGGACGAAAGCGUGGGUAGCGAACAGG